UACGUAGGGGGCAAGCGUUGUCCGGAAUUACUGGGCGUAAAGGGCGCGUAGGCGGCCUGUUAAGUCGAACGUGAAAUCCCUGGGCUCAACCCAGGAACUGCGUCCGAUACUGGCAGGCUUGAGUUCGGGAGAGGGAUGCGGAAUUCCAGGUGUAGCGGUGAAAUGCGUAGAUAUCUGGAGGAACACCUGUGGCGAAGGCGGCGGACUGGGCCGACCCUGACGCUGAGGCGCGAAGGCGUGGGGAGCGAACGGG
rnacentral:rRNA from 1 species